rnacentral:rRNA from 1 species
AAUGAUGAGGAGCUUGCUCCUCUGAUUUAGCGGCGGACGGGUGAGUAACACGUGGGUAAUCUGCCUGUAAGACGGGGAUAACUCCGGGAAACCGGGGCUAAUACCGGAUAAUAAGAGAAGAAGCAUUUCUUCUUUUUGAAAGUCGGUUUCGGCUGACACUUACAGAUGAGCCCGCGGCGCAUUAGCUAGUUGGUGAGGUAACGGCUCACCAAGGCGACGAUGCGUAGCCGACCUGAGAGGGUGAUCGGCCACACUGGGACUGAGACACGGCCCAGACUCCUACGGGAGGCAGCAGUAGGGAAUCUUCGGCAAUGGGCGAAAGCCUGACCGAGCAACGCCGCGUGAGCGAUGAAGGCCUUCGGGUCGUAAAGCUCUGUUGUUAGAGAAGAACAAGUACGAGAGUAACUGCUCGUACCUUGACGGUACCUAACCAGAAAGCCACG